CCGCACGCUCGCCCCGCGCCCAUGCAACAACGCAGGGACGCGCGCACACACGUACACACGCACACACACACACGUACACACACGGCCCCCCCCCUUCCCCUCCCGCCCCCCAUCCAGCAAUCAUGGCUGCGCCGCCCGCACGCUCCGAUUGGGGCUCCGCGAGCGCCACCGCCUGUCCUGCUCCCGAGGCUCCUCCCGGAGGGGUUUAACCCGUUGGCACCUGUUUGGUUGUGAUUUCUUUGCCGUGGAUCCCAGAGCAAAGCGAGGGAUGCUCCGUGGGAUCGCACCUGCAGGGCUGUCUCAGCCCCCAGGACAAAACGUGGAGCGGCCGCUGGUCGUGCUGUGGGCACUUGGACUUGAACUGCACGUUUGCCUUUCGGGGGAUUACGUUCCGCUUUACAUCACUAAUUCCUGCGGUGAGGAAAGGGCACGGCUCUUCUGGGUAAGGGCCGGGGGGGGGGGAGGGGGGGCGAAGUUAGGGCUGUGAAUGCUGGGAUGUGGAGGCAGUGAAGCAGUGCUGUUCAUCUGUCGUCUGAUCAGAGCCGUGUGUCCAAAAUGUGGCCAUAGAACGGAGCGGGCGACGUCGAAGUGAUGCGCGCUGACCCGUGGGCUGCACUGUCCUCGUGGCCAUAACCACAGAGGGCAAUGGCAGAGCUCAUUACUGAGCUGAGCAGCUCAUUGCUGUGUGAGGAGUGCUGCCGGAGAUGGGGUCGGCUUCUCCACCCCACAGCAAGAGCUGUUAGCUUCACUUCUGCCUGCGGAGCAUAGCGGAGCAGCUUUCCUUUUGGAAGGGGAUGGCACCUUUGCACUUGCUGCAAGGUCCCCUUAGUCUAAGUGACCUGGAAGUCCUUCAGACAGCAGCGAAUAAAACAUUCUUAC
ensembl:lncRNA